rnacentral:rRNA from 1 species
UACGUAGGGGGCAAGCGUUGUCCGGAAUCAUUGGGCGUAAAGAGCGUGUAGGCGGCCCGGUAAGUCCGUUGUGAAAGUCCAGGGCUCAACCCUGGAAAGCCGAUGGAUACUGCCGGGCUAGAGUUCGGAAGAGGCGAGUGGAAUUCCUGGUGUAGCGGUGGAAUGCGCAGAUAUCAGGAGGAACACCUAUAGCGAAGGCAGCUCGCUGGGACGACACUGACGCUAAGACGCGAAAGCGUGGGGAGCAAACAGG